AGGAUCAUUCGCAAUGGGGGAAACCCUGACGAUGCGACGCUGCGUGGAGGAUGAAGGCCCUCGGGUCGUAAACUCCUGUCAUGGGGGAAAAGGCGAGGGGACCCAACACGUCCCUUAGUUGAUGGUACCCCAAGAGGAACGGGCGGCUAACUCUGUGCCAGCAGCCGCGGUAAUACAGAGGCCCGUAGCGUUGUUCGGAUUUACUGGGCGUAAAGGGCGCGUAGGCGGCCAGGCGUGUCGGAUGUGAAAUCUCCGGGCUCAACCCGGAAAGUGCGUCCGAAACUGCCCGGCUCGAGUGCGGGAUGGGGAAGGGGAAUGCAGGGUGUAGCGGUGAAAUGCGUUGAUAUCCUGCAGAACACCGGAGGCGAAGGCGCCUUCCUGGAACGCAACUGACGCUGAGGCGCGAAAGUCGGGGGAGCAAACA
rnacentral:rRNA from 1 species